rnacentral:misc_RNA from 1 species
GGCCGCCGGGGGGGCUCUCUAGCCCCCCGGGCCGGCGCCGGCGGGGACUCCAACAUUGAACACUGUCUGAAGUUUGCAGUCUUGAGUUUUCAUAUUAAGAAAAAAUUCGUUAAAACUUUCAACAACGGAUCUCUUGGUUCCGGCAUCGAUGAAGAACGCAGCGAAAUGCGAUACGUAAUGUGAAUUGCAGAAUUCAGUGAAUCAUCGAGUCUUUGAACGCACAUUGCGCCCCCUGGUAUUCCGGGGGGCAUGCCUGUCCGAGCGUCAUUGCUGCCCUCAAGCACGGCUUGUGUGUUGGGCCCCCGUCCCGGUUUCUCCCCCCGGGACGGGCCCGAAAGGCAGCGGCGGCACCGUGUCCGGUCCUCGAGUGUAUGGGGCUCUGUCACCCACUCUGGUAGGCCCGGCCGGCGGCUAGCCUCAACCAAAUUUUUUUAACCAGGUUGACCUCGGAUCAGGUAGGGAUACCCGCUGAACUUAAGCAUAUCAAUAAGCGGAGGAAA